GGCGUCUUAGCAAAGUGGUUACUGCGACAGAUUCGAAUUAAAUACUUAUCUGUUCCUCUUCGAGGGCGCAAGUUCGAAUCUUGCAGACGUCG